AAUCCUGCUGCCUGUUGGUCACCUGCGAGGGAGCAGGUACCAGGUAUGGCUGGGAGGGCCCCAAGGGUAGGCAGGGAUCUACACCCAGCCUUAUAGACUCCGUGCCCCUCAUUCCUCCCAGUUGAGGUCAUUUCACGAGCCCAGCCACUCCAGGACUGGGAGGAGAAGCAGAGGUUCUGAGGCGGCUCUCCCAGAGUUGAAAUCCGUAGAUGAUACAGUUUCAAAGAUUAAUACAAUGCCAUGCUUCCCAGAAAGGAGGAAUACGAAGAAAGCAAUUUCUAAGAAGAUAAUUGUGUUUCAAUAUGUUAUGUGGUCAAGGAGGACCACCCCAGACAAGGCACUGUGACAGCAGCAAAUGCAGAAAGAUCCAGUUGCUCAUGCCCCAUGAAACCAUGCUGCCUAGGAGUGGUGGGUGGCUCUCAACCACAGAGAAUUAUCCAUCAAUUGAUAAUUUAGUGACUUAAUUCUGCUAAGUCUUGGGCAAGAACAUUUCUAUACAAUGGAAUUAGGUCCUAGGCUUGGAUAAUAAAAAGCAGGCUUUUUGCC